CAGAGAUGGACCCAACCUGCAGCUGGCAGGCACCUAAAUCAGUCAAUCCUCAGCCAACCCACAGACUCAUGAGUGAGAGACAAAUGCUUCUUCUACCUGCAAGCCAGGGCAAGUUUGAGGUAGCUUGUUACACAGCAUGAUAGCAAUAGCUGCCUGAGACACCUGCACACUUGUUCAAAUUCCGUGUUUUCUCCAACCUAAGCAUCACCCCUUGUGGGAAACCAGGCCAUCCAAGGGCAUGGAUCCUGUGUCUCAGGAAUGCUGGGAUGCAUAAAAGUGGAGAAGAGCUCUGCCGUGUUAACAGUGGUUAUCUCCAGAUUGUAGGAUUUUUUUAUUUUCUUCUUUAUACUUUUGUGUAUUUUCCAAAGUUUCUGUGAUUAACACGUUUUUUUAUAACCAGAAAGAAAUACUGUAUUAAAAAAUUAGAAACCAACUCUUCUUGGCACCUCACCAAUCCUCACCCUUGGUGUCCCCAAGAACAAGAGGAAUUGUCAAAUCCUUCACCCACGUAACUGUCUUCAAGUCUCUGGAGAAAGCAGUGAAACAACACCUGAAUUUGUAUCUCAACAAGUUUUCCAGCUCAAGUUGGCAG
rnacentral:lncRNA from 1 species